rnacentral:rRNA from 1 species
GAUGAACGCUGGCGGCGUGCCUAAUACAUGCAAGUCGAGCGAACGGACGAGAAGCUUGCUUCUCUGAUGUUAGCGGCGGACGGGUGAGUAACACGUGGAUAACCUACCUAUAAGACUGGGAUAACUUCGGGAAACCGGAGCUAAUACCGGAUAAUAUUUUGAACCGCAUGGUUCAAAAGUGAAAGACGGUCUUGCUGUCACUUAUAGAUGGAUCCGCGCUGCAUUAGCUAGUUGGUAAGGUAACGGCUUACCAAGGCAACGAUGCAUAGCCGACCUGAGAGGGUGAUCGGCCACACUGGAACUGAGACACGGUCCAGACUCCUACGGGAGGCAGCAGUAGGGAAUCUUCCGCAAUGGGCGAAAGCCUGACGGAGCAACGCCGCGUGAGUGAUGAAGGUCUUCGGAUCGUAAAACUCUGUUAUUAGGGAAGAACAUAUGUGUAAGUAACUGUGCACAUCUUGACGGUACCUAAUCAGAAAGCCACGGCUAACUACGUGCCAGCAGCCGCGGUAAUACGUAGGUGGCAAGCGUUAUCCGGAAUUAUUGGGCGUAAAGCGCACGUAGGCGGUUUUUUAAGUCUGAUGUGAAAGCCCACGGCUCAACCGUGGAGGGUCAUUGGAAACUGGAAAACUUGAGUGCAGAAGAGGAGAGUGGAAUUCCAUGUGUAGCGGUGAAAUGCGCAGAGAUAUGGAGGAACACCAGUGGCGAAGGCGACUUUCUGGUCUGUAACUGACGCUGAUGUGCGAAAGCGUGGGGAUCAAACAGGAUUAGAUACCCUGGUAGUCCACGCCGUAAACGAUGAGUGCUAAGUGUUAGGGGGUUUCCGCCCCUUAGUGCUGCAGCUAACGCAUUAAGCACUCCGCCUGGGGAGUACGACCGCAAGGUUGAAACUCAAAGGAAUUGACGGGGACCCGCACAAGCGGUGGAGCAUGUGGUUUAAUUCGAAGCAACGCGAAGAACCUUACCAAAUCUUGACAUCCUUUGACAACUCUAGAGAUAGAGCUUUCCCCUUCGGGGGACAAAGUGACAGGUGGUGCAUGGUUGUCGUCAGCUCGUGUCGUGAGAUGUUGGGUUAAGUCCCGCAACGAGCGCAACCCUUAAGCUUAGUUGCCAUCAUUAAGUUGGGCACUCUAAGUUGACUGCCGGUGACAAACCGGAGGAAGGUGGGGAUGACGUCAAAUCAUCAUGCCCCUUAUGAUUUGGGCUACACACGUGCUACAAUGGACAAUACAAAGGGCAGCGAAACCGCGAGGUCAAGCAAAUCCCAUAAAGUUGUUCUCAGUUCGGAUUGUAGUCUGCAACUCGACUACAUGAAGCUGGAAUCGCUAGUAAUCGUAGAUCAGCAUGCUACGGUGAAUACGUUCCCGGGUCU